rnacentral:rRNA from 1 species
GACGAACGCUGGCGGCGUGCUUAACACAUGCAAGUCGAACGGAGAAUUUAUUUCGGUAAAUUCUUAGUGGCGAACGGGUGAGUAACGCGUGGGCAACCUGCCCUUCAGAUGGGGACAACAUCCCGAAAGGGGUGCUAAUACCGAAUACGAUCACGCUGCCGCAUGGCGGUGUGAUGAAAGAUGGCCUCUAUUUAUAAGCUAUCGCUGAAGGAUGGGCCUGCGUCUGAUUAGCUAGUUGGUGGGGUAACGGCCUACCAAGGCGAUGAUCAGUAGCCGGUCUGAAAGGAUGAACGGCCACAUUGGGACUGAGACACGGCCCAAACUCCUACGGGAGGCAGCAGUGGGGAAUAUUCCGCAAUGGACGAAAGUCUGACGGAGCAACGCCGCGUGAGUGAUGAAGGUUUUCGGACUGUAAAACUCUGUUGUUUAGGACGAAAGUGCCUGUUGCAAAUAGUUGCAGGUAUUGACGGUACUGAACGAGGAAGCCACGGCUAACUACGUGCCAGCAGCCGCGGUAA